AGAGUUUGAUCCUGGCUCAGGAUGAACGCUAGCGGCAGGCCUAAUACAUGCAAGUCGAGGGGCAACAGGUGUAGCAAUACAUGCUGGCGACCGGCGCACGGGUGCGUAACACGUAUGAAACCUACCCAUAACUUGGGAAUAGCCCGAAGAAAUUCGGAUUAAUGUCCAAUAACACGUUGAAAUGGCAUCAUUUUAAUGUUAAAGAUUUAUCGGUUAUGGAAGGUCAUGCGGCUGAUUAGCUAGUUGGUGAGGUAAUGGCUCACCAAGGCGACGAUCAGUAGGGGACCUGAGAGGGUGAUCCCCCACACUGGUACUGAGAUACGGACCAGACUCCUACGGGAGGCAGCAGUAGGGAAUAUUGGGCAAUGGGCGAGAGCCUGACCCAGCCAUGCCGCGUGCAGGAAGAAGGCCUUCUGGGUUGUAAACUGCUUUUGAUCGGGAACAAAGAGUCCAUGCGUGGAAAGUUGAGUGUACCGAUAGAAUAAGCACCGGCUAACUCCGUGCCAGCAGCCGCGGUAAUACGGGGGGUGCAAGCGUUGUCCGGAUUUAUUGGGUUUAAAGGGUGCGUAGGCGGUCUUUUAAGUCAGCGGUGAAAGCCUCCAGCUUAACUGGAGAAAUGCCAUUGAUACUGGAAGACUUGAGUACAGACGAGGUAGGCGGAAUUGACAGUGUAGCGGUGAAAUGCAUAGAUAUUGUCGAGAACACCGAUUGCGAAGGCAGCUUACUAGACUGUAACUGACGCUGAGGCACGAAAGUGUGGGGAUAAACAGGAUUAGAUACCCNNGUAGUCC
rnacentral:rRNA from 1 species